rnacentral:rRNA from 1 species
AUGAAUGCUGGCGGCGUGUCUAAGGCAUGCAAGUCGAAUGCCUAUAGCAAUAUAGGCAUGGCAAACGGGAGAGUAACACAUUGGGAAUCUACCCUGAAGACGAGAAUAACCUUGCGAAAGCGAGAAUAAUACUCGAUGGUAUCAAAGAGCGUAAAGCUUUUUGAUUAAAGCUCCGGCACUUCAGGAGGACCCUAUGGCUUAUCAGCUAGUUGGUGAGGUAAUGGCUCACCAAGGCUAUGACGAGUACCGGGUGUGAGAGCACGACCCGGCCCACUGGGACUGAGACACUGCCCAGACUCCUACGGGAGGCUGCAGUCAAGAAUAUUCCUCAAUGGCCGAAAGGCUGAAGGAGCGACGCCGCGUGUAUGAUGACGCCCCUCGGGGUGUAAAGUACUUUUAUCAGGGACGAACAAAUGACGGUACCUGAUGAAUAAGGGGCUGCUAACUUCGU